rnacentral:rRNA from 1 species
AAUGAACGCUGGCGGCAUGCCUAACACAUGCAAGUCGAACGAAGGCUUCGGCCUCAGUGGCGCAUGGGUUUGGAACGCGUGGGAAGCUUCACUCUGCGUUGGAAUAACUGUUAGAAAUGACUGCCAAUACCGGACGAUGUCGCAAGACCAAUGAUUUAUUGACAAAGGAUGUGCACGCGUAGGAUUAGCUAGUUGGGAGGGUAAAGGCUUACCAAGGCGACGAUUCUUAGCUGGUCUGAGAGAAUGAUCAGCCACACUGGGACUAAGACACGGCCCAGACUCCUACGGGAGGCAGGAGUGGGGAAUAUUGGACAGUGGGCGGAGGCACGAUCCAGCAAUGCCGGGUGAGUGAUGAAGGCCUUAGGGUUGUAAAGCUCUUUUACCCGGGAUGAUAAUGACGGUACCGGGAGAAUAAGCUCCGGCUAACUCCGUG